UACAUGCAAGUCGAGCGGACAGAUGGGAGCUUGCUCCCUGAUGUUAGCGGCGGACGGGUGAGUAACACGUGGGUAACCUGCCUGUAAGACUGGGAUAACUCCGGGAAACCGGGGCUAAUACCGGAUGGUUGUUUGAACCGCAUGGUUCAAACAUAAAAGGUGGCUUCGGCUACCACUUACAGAUGGACCCGCGGCGCAUUAGCUAGUUGGUGAGGUAACGGCUCACCAAGGCGACGAUGCGUAGCCGACCUGAGAGGGUGAUCGGCCACACUGGGACUGAGACACGGCCCAGACUCCUACGGGAGGCAGCAGUAGGGAAUCUUCCGCAAUGGACGAAAGUCUGACGGAGCAACGCCGCGUGAGUGAUGAAGGUUUUCGGAUCGUAAAGCUCUGUUGUUAGGGAAGAACAAGUACCGUUCGAAUAGGGCGGUACCUUGACGGUACCUAACCAGAAAGCCACGGCUAACUACGUGCCAGCAGCCGCGGUAAUACGUAGGUGGCAAGCGUUGUCCGGAAUUAUUGGGCGUAAAGGGCUCGCAGGCGGUUUCUUAAGUCUGAUGUGAAAGCCCCCGGCUCAACCGGGGAGGGUCAUUGGAAACUGGGGAACUUGAGUGCAGAAGAGGAGAGUGGAAUUCCACGUGUAGCGGUGAAAUGCGUAGAGAUGUGGAGGAACACCAGUGGCGAAGGCGACUCUCUGGUCUGUAACUGACGCUGAGGAGCGAAAGCGUGGGGAGCGAACAGGAUUAGAUACCCUGG
rnacentral:rRNA from 2 species